rnacentral:rRNA from 1 species
GACGAACGCUGGCGGCGGGCUUAACACAUGCAAGUCGAACGGAAAGGCCCUGCUUUUGUGGGGUGCUCGAGUGGCGAAGGGGGGAGUAACACGUGAGUAACCUGCCCUUGACUUUGGGAUAACUUCAGGAAACUGGGGCUAAUACCGGAUAGGAGAUCCUGCUGCAGGGGGGGGGUUGGAAAGUUUGGGCGGUUGGGGAUGGACUCGCGGCUUAUCAGUUUGUUGGUGGGGUAGUGGCUUACCAAGGCUUUGACGGGUAGCCGGCCUGAGAGGGUGACCGGCCACAUUGGGACUGAGAUACGGCCCAGACUCCUACGGGAGGCAGCAGUGGGGAAUAUUGCACAAUGGGCGGAAGCCUGAUGCAGCAACGCCGCGUGCGGGAUGACGGCCUUCGGGUUGUAAACCGCUUUCGCCUGUGACGAAGCGUGAGUGACGGUAAUGGGUAAAGAAGCACCGGCUAACUACGUG